rnacentral:rRNA from 1 species
GAUGAACGCUGGCGGCGUGCCUAAUACAUGCAAGUCGAGCGAACGGACGAGAAGCUUGCUUCUCUGAUGUUAGCGGCGGACGGGUGAGUAACACGUGGAUAACCUACCUAUAAGACUGGGAUAACUUCGGGAAACCGGAGCUAAUACCGGAUGAUAUUUUGAACCGCAUGGUUCAAAAGUGAAAGACGGUCUUGCUGUCACUUAUAGAUGGAUCCGCGCUGCAUUAGCUAGUUGGUAAGGUAAUGGCUUACCAAGGCAACGAUGCAUAGCCGACCUGAGAGGGUGAUCGGCCACACUGGAACUGAGACACGGUCCAGACUCCUACGGGAGGCAGCAGUAGGGAAUCUUCCGCAAUGGGCGAAAGCCUGACGGAGCAACGCCGCGUGAGUGAUGAAGGUCUUCGGAUCGUAAAACUCUGUUAUUAGGGAAGAACAAAUGUGUAAGUAACUGUGCACAUCUUGACGGUACCUAAUCAGAAAGCCACGGCUAACUACGUG